rnacentral:rRNA from 1 species
GUUUGAUCCUGGCUCAGAUUGAACGCUGGCGGCAGGCUUAACACAUGCAAGUCGAGCGGGGAAAGGUAGCUUGCUACUGGACCUAGCGGCGGACGGGUGAGUAAUACUUAGGAAUCUGCCUAUUAGUGGGGGACAACGUUCCGAAAGGAGCGCUAAUACCGCAUACGCCCUACGGGGGAAAGCAGGGGAUCACUUGUGACCUUGCGCUAAUAGAUGAGCCUAAGUCGGAUUAGCUAGUUGGUGGGGUAAAGGCCUACCAAGGCGACGAUCUGUAGCGGGUCUGAGAGGAUGAUCCGCCACACUGGGACUGAGACACGGCCCAGACUCCUACGGGAGGCAGCAGUGGGGAAUAUUGGACAAUGGGGGGAACCCUGAUCCAGCCAUGCCGCGUGUGUGAAGAAGGCCUUUUGGUUGUAAAGCACUUUAAGCGAGGAGGAGAGGCCCUAGGUUAAUACCCUAGGUGCUUGGACGUUACUCGCAGAAUAAGCACCGGCUAACUCUGUGCCAG